UUCUUGCACUCAUUGUAUAGUCCACCCCUA
rnacentral:piRNA from 1 species